GCAGUGGUGGGUCAGUGGUAGAAUUCUUGCCUUCCAUACGAGAGGCCUGGGUUAGAUUCCCAGCCAAUGUA
rnacentral:tRNA from 1 species